rnacentral:rRNA from 1 species
AGGUUCCAAAAUUAUUGUUAAGUGAAAAUAAGGUAGUGUUUAUCCAAGCCAACCAGGAAAUGGGCUUAGGAGCGGCCAUUUUUUAAAGAUCUCGUAACAGAGCACUGGUUUUAUACAUUUUUGUAUGUAUUGUUAGAUGCACCUAAAAUUUAACGGAUCUAAAUAAUAUACCGAGACCUUGUCCAUAUAUAUUUAUAUGUACAAGUUACAUAUAAUAUUUAUGGGGUAGCGGAACAUUGGGCAUAUCUCAGAUUUUUUCUUUUUAAGACUUAAGAUUAGAUGACCCAAGUGAUAAUGCUGACAUGAGUAACGAUAAAGGGUUUAUACCCUCGCCUAAAGCUUAUGGAAUUUACUUAAAGUAACGGCCUCUAAGUUUAAAUUUGCUAUAGUUUAAACAAACAACACUUGAUACCUAACUCUAACAGACGAUACAAGUGCAAAAUAGUAAACACCUAAUGGUAUAAACGAUGAGAAAAAGCUAAGUUUUACAGAUAUAAAUAGCAUGAGUGUUGCAGGUAGGUAUUAUAUAUAUAAUGGAUUUUUUUUUAUUUUUUUUAUAUAAAAUAUUUAAUAGAAACUAGAAAAAUUAUAGAUUUAAUAGUUAUUUUGUGCUAAAGUGACAAAUGCUCUGGAAAAAUGUAAAACUACUGACGUGUUAGAGAGUAGGCGAGGUUCAAUCCCUUGUCCAUUAAUAAGCAAUUACCGUACCUAAAAACUAACACAAGUAAGCAA